CUACAGGUCUGCGCUCCACCGCCAGAGCCAAGCCCGCACCUGGGUGGUCCCAGGGGCUGCCGAUGCGAGCUCAGGGCGCCUACGACUGGCGUCUGGCGGUUCACACAGGGCGAGGCUGGCUGCUGUCUCUUAUAGGAGGGGCCUGCUCCCUGGCCUCUCAGGAGCCUCUGACCCAUUCCCUGCAUUCUGCCCAGGAACCCUCUAGGGUCACCUCUGGAACUGUGGCUCAGCUGCCUCAGGCCACCAGGAGGCCCAGGUGUCAACGCUGGAGAGCUGAGGGCUCCAGUCCUCGCACUGUGGUGACGAGUGGUGAGUGUGGGCGGGGGGCUCUGCUGUUCCCGCCUGCCAUCUCCAAGGUGUUCAGUCAGCCACCGAAGCCUGAGGGUCACCGGGCCUCUGCUCACUGGCCCUCCAGAUGAGGAGCGUCCUGUUGGCUGACCAAGGUGUCCCGGACUCCCCGGGAGCCUGCCGUCCUCUGGGGCCUCAGGCCCCCCUCUGCCGUGUGCUCGGGCGUGGGGGGUCCUGGCUAAAUCUGCAGGUGUAGACGUGGCUGGCACAGUCAGUCGGGUCGACCUGGUGCCGCCUUCAGAAAGGGCUUGGUGCGUGCCACCCUGGGCACUGCUGUGAAUCCUGUGGUUUCAGGGACCUCAUGGACAGAACAGAGGCUCAGGGCCUCACGGGCGCUGAGUGCUAUGCCUCCCCCUCCCCACUGAGGACUGAGGAGGCCGCUUUCUCCUGGGCUCAGCUGCCUCAGGCCACCAGGAGGCAACAAGAGGUCACUCAGCAAGUGACAGGGACAUGCAAGCCGUGACAGGUGGCCACCCUGUGGACCCUGCCCUCUGCUCUGCACUUUUCAGAUUUUGUUUGAGGACUUUGCUGUCCAGAGCGUGGACCUCUCCACAGGCUCCGGGUCAGACCCUGGCAGCACCCCAGGAGCUCUGGCACGCGGGAUCUGUGCCCUUGUUGGUGAUGUUUCACUUUAUUUUUGGUGCCAGAGAUUGAACCCAGGGGCACUCACCUACCAAGCCACAUCCCCAGCCCUUUUUACUUUUUAUUUUAAGACAGGGUCUCGCUAACUUGCUGAGGCUGGCUUUGAACUCAUGACCCUCCUGCCUCCUGAGCCACUGGGAGGACAGGCCUGUGCCUGGCCAUUGGUGACUUUUUCAAUACAGUUUGUUCACUGUGGUAAAAUGUAUGGACCAUGAAAGUGACUGAGAGCAGGUCACUCUGCUGCUGGCCCGUCUUAAAGUCGUCUUCUGACAGUGGUGGCUGCGGCUGCUCCUGGGAGCAGGUGGGGUGUGUCUGCUUUUCUGGGGCCCGGGCGGGUCAGUGAAGCCAGGGCACUCGUCCUGGCCGCCCUAACAGCCACGAAUCCAGCCAAGAAGGCACUGGGGACCACAAUCUUAGUUCCUGACUGGCAGGAGAGGGCCAGUGGGGUCACUUGGGCCUGUGGGGAGGUGCGAGCUCCAGGUGCCUGCCCGCGGGUAGGGCUGCGACAGAAGCAGACGCCCGCCUCUCCGGCUCCCUACUCUGGGCCAGGGUCAUCUGUUUGCUCUGCGAGAAACUCUUACACACUCCCAUGCCAAGGCCAGGGACAGUGAGAACCCCGAGGGACCAUGGGAACACUGUGCGGUCAGCACCUUUGGUCCAUGCGGAUGGACAGCUGCCCUUGGCCGGAAGAUCCUCUCGCACCACGCCAAGCUCUGCCGCACAGCCCAGCUCUGGCCGCCCUCUGGGUCCCGUCUGUGUCCUCCUGAGCACUGGGAUCUGCAUGGCCGGGUCUCCCUGCAGCAUGGAGCGCCACACAGCAUUCCGUGAGAACAGAAGUGCCUUGGAGCCCUAGGUCAUGCAGAGUGCCGGAGGCGAGAUGCCCUGAACAUGCCCAGCCUGACCUGCCUCUGCCCCUCGGAGCUCCACCCUCCACACUGGCUGCCUCCUGCUGCUCCCGCCCUCUCCUCGUCCUGCAUGCUUACAGGGGCAGGUAGUGGGACCCCGCAGCCUCCCCCUGGGCACUGGGCCCUCAGCCUCACCACCGCAUUAUCCUGAGCUGGCUGUCUUGAGUGACAGGCACCAAGGAGCCUGCCCUCCUGGGGUGCAUGGCUUCAUGUCCCUGUGGUGACGCCCCCAACCUGGGGGUGCGUGCAUGCUCCCCCGAAUGCAGUGUCAGGGACACGGACGCCUGCUGUCCUCUUAUGGAGGGCCAUGCUUUCCACCGCUGGCCCGCAAGAUUGGGCCUUUACAGAGGUAGGUUAAUGGCUGUCCCCAGGGCAGAACUCUGAGGCCCACCCAGUGACUGACAACUCCCACAAAGUGUGUGCUCAUGAUGGCCGCUGUCUGAUCUCGCCUCCGCACUCUGCAUGACCUAGGGCUCAAAGGCACUCUCCUCUCACGGAAUGCUGUCAUGUCUGUGUGGUGCUCCAUCUCAGCAGGCUGAGCCCACAGGCGGGCACUCUGUACCCCCACCACAGAGUGGCCGUGGGGGUAGGGUUCUUGCAAAAUGGAAUUUUAACCCUAACCCUUUACACGGCCCCACCCAGGGUGGAACUGAAGAACGGCCGUCCUCUUCCUGGCACGGCUGCCUUCAGCCUUGAGCCCCAUGCUUUGGUCAUCUGUCCUUGGGCCUUCCACCGCCUGCCCAUCCUGGGGGUGGGCGGGAAGGUGCCUGGGGACCCAGGGCACUCUGAGCAGUGCUGGGCUUGGCCCCAGGGUGGGUGGGGCUCCUGCACUGCCUGACUGGAAGGCAGCCCUCCCUGGUCCUGGUG
rnacentral:lncRNA from 1 species